AUUCCAGCUCCAAUAGCGUAUAUUAAAGUUGUUGCAGUUAAAAAGCUCGUAGUUGGAUUUCUGGACGGAGCAGCCGGUCCGCCGCUGUGCGGUGUGUACUCGUGCUUGACUCGGUUCAUCCUUGUGGGGAAGCGCAUUUCGGCAUUCAGUUGUCGAGGCGGGGAACCACAUCAUUUACUGUGAAAAAAUUAGAGUGUUUAAAGCAGGCAUUUUGCUGUGAAUACAUUAGCAUGGAAUAAUAACAUAGGACUUUGAUUCUAUUUUGUUGGUUGGAGAUCAAGGUAAUGAUUAAUAGGGAUAGUUGGGGGUAUUCAUAUUUAAUUGUCAGAGGUGAAAUUCUUGGAUUUAUGAAAGAUGAACUCAUGCGAAAGCAUUUACCAAGGAUGUUUUCAUUA
rnacentral:rRNA from 1 species